rnacentral:tRNA from 1 species
GGCGCCAUACCCAAGUGGUCAAGGGAGAGGUUUGCAAAACCUCCAUUCCCCGGUUCGAAUCCGGGUGGCGCCUCCA